GGCUGGUCUGAUGGUAGGGUUAUCAGAACUUAUUAACAUUUGUGUCACUAAAGUUGGUAUACAACCCCCCACUGCUAAAUUUGACUGGCUUUUA
rnacentral:Y_RNA from 1 species